UGCGAAGUAGUUCAGCCCGGUAGAACAGCAGGCUCAUAACCUGUAUUGUCGGUGGUUCAAAUCCACCCUUCGCAACCA
rnacentral:tRNA from 1 species